rnacentral:rRNA from 1 species
AACGAACGCUGGCGGCAGGCCUAACACAUGCAAGUCGAACGCCCUAGCAAUAGGGAGUGGCAGACGGGUGAGUAACGCGUGGGAACCUUCCCUAUAGUACGGAAUAUACCAGGGAAACUUGGAGCAGUACCGUAUACGCCCGAAAGGGGAAAGAUUUAUCGCUAUAGGAUGGGCCCGCGUAGGAUUAGCUAGUUGGUGAGGUAAUGGCUCACCAAGGCGACGAUCCUUAGCUGGUCUGAGAGGAUGAUCAGCCACACUGGGACUGAGACACGGCCCAGACUCCAACGGGAGGCAGCAGUGGGGAAUAUUGGGCAAUGGGCGCAAGCCUGACCCAGCCAUGCCGCGUGAGUGACGACGGCCUUAGGGUUGUAAAGCUCUUUUGGCGGGGACGAUAACGACGGUACCCGCAGAAUAAGCCCCGGCUAACUUCGUGCCAGCCGCCGCGGUAACAC